ACGACCACACAAGCAAGGCCUCCAGUUCGUAUUCAUCUCGAGCUAGCGAGUACAAAUGCAACAUCCCGGUUAGCAAAAUGUUGUGAUUCAAGUAUGACUAAAGCACACAGAAUGCAGUCAGACUGCAUUAACAGAUAAGAAGCAAUGCCCAAGCAAAGUCAACUACACACCUGCCCAACUAAAAUUAACCUGUGAAAUUAGAUGCCCCAAAAGUCAUACAACUUGAGAGUUCAACCAACAUUUAAGGGGAAGAAAAUCCACCCAAAAAGUUCAAACUGCAUCAAGUGGGACUUUGUGUGUUGUUUUUUUUUUCAACUUCAUCUUAGAAAGAGCUGCAGGUGACGACGACAAAGACAGUGACGUUCUCUUUACAGAGGUUAGGUUGGAAAGAAUCAGAAAUGAUCUUAUCAGAGGGACAACAAUGGUUAGAGAUGUAUUGAAGACAAAGUUGGACAGAGCAGAUUUUGGAUGGUUUGGACACAUCCAGCGGACAGAUUCGGAGUCUAUUCAUUGAAGGAUGAUUCAAGCAGAGUUCACAAGGAUUUUAUAUGUAAAGAGGGGAUGAAGACUACAUGUCAUCAUUUGGUAAAUUUACAAUUGGUCCGUCCACACUUGUGGGUAUUAUUUGUAUGUGUGUGUGUGAAAAGGAUUUGGGAGGCACAAGUAUUCCAACUGACGCCAGCGGUACAUUUGUGAGAAAUUACUCUUUUAUCUCUUUAUGCAUGUGUUUAGGAUGAACUAUUUAUUGGGUUAUAACUGCGGCAAACUCGAAUUAGAUUCAAAAAUUGUAUUUAACCACAUGAGCAUCAUUGAGUUUCAAACUUUUAUAAGAGUGAUCUAGUCAAGCAAGACUGACACCAAUGCUUUUUGUCAGCCCGCCUCUGGUGUUUUGCAUUGUUUAUUAGCAUUAUGGAUUUAUCUACAGCAAAGCGACAUGGUUGUUUUAAUUAUACAAUGUGUAAUUCGUUUUGCUUUAUGUAUAAUUUGACAAGUGUCGGUCGUGGCAUUCAUUUGUUCUGAGGUGCAGGGUUUGAUUCGGGCUCUAGCCUUCCUGUGUGGAUUUCGCAUGUUCUCCCCGUGCCUGCGUGGGAGUCCCUCCAAGUGCUCUGGCUUCCUCUCACAUUCCAAGAACAUGCAUGGCAGACUGAUCGACCACUCCAAAAUGUACUUGAAGUGGGGUUCAUUUAUCAUACAUUACAACAUAACGGGUUUUCAGAGGCCAUUAAAAAAGUAGGUUGAGAAGCACUGCAGUUUAAUGCAAGGUCUUAAAAACAAGAUAUUCCUUUAUUUUCCCCACAUGGGAAACUUCCAGUAUAUAGGAGCCAUAAUCUAAAAGAAUUUAAAAGAAUGAACAGGAGUUUAAAACAGGUGUUUAGAAGACUUAAAGAUUUAAAAACAAUAUAAUGAACCUCAAAUGAAUCAUCUCUAAGAUUCAUGAAUCUAAUUUACAGUUAAGUCUUAUGUUUCUUUAACAGUUUGGGGAUUUUGUUAUGGCGUUUUUGAGAGUCUCAUAGAUGGCUAUAAAAAUUUAAAUUUUGGUUGUAAGAAUUAUGAAGAACCCAAAAAUCUCCAUCUGGCCUGUGUCUUGACCAUCUGUGGCCUUGAAUUUUUCUUUUAAAACAACCAAGCCACUUUGGUUAGCUCAUGCAGUCCCAAUGUGAGCCAUGUCAGUAAUGGUAUGCUGCUGGUGUGCAGGAGGAAUUGACAGUGAAGGAUGUGAGGAAUUACGGAAUUGCAUGCAAAUCAUUAGUCAACCAUGUUGUCACAAAGAAAGUAAUGGCCAUAAAAAAGUCCCUUUGAACUGCAAAUGGUUGCACUGACCAAACAGAUUGUCAACAUAAAUGCAUGCAAUUAAUGAAGUUCAAGCACCAUUUUCACAUGGACAUUUGCAUCAAAUAAUUUGACUGGAAAUGUGUUUGUGUUUAAUAAAAUCACAUACAUAUAUUAUACAUAUAUGUAUUUUUUUUUCCUUUUGUGGUGAAUAUUUGAAUGUAUGGAUGCUUCCCUUGGACGCUAUAUAUGGUGUAUUUUUUUUUUUCAUAAAACAAGGUCACCUCACUCGAAGAUAUCAUAUGACGACAAGGUGUAUAUUUAGACGUGACAUCAUCCCACCUUUGCCUGUAAAAACAAACAGACAGAUCAUACCGUUUGGAUCACCUCUUAUUGCUUGUGAAGGGCGUUACAAUCCAGCGGGUAAUAAAUCAUUCAAAUGGCGAUGCGACUUCAUCUUUGUGGCAUUGCCACCGUUUGGCUGACAAAAUCUGGGCUUUAUCCCGACGUUACAAAGGCUCGCAAAGACAUGCAAGUCUUGUCAGUGAGGUUUUAUGUGAAUACCCGCACAUCAAUCCAUCACAUACUCUUGAUAUGAGCGUCUGACUACCCGGCACAGGUGGUGCUGGUGUCAAGUUAGAAGUUAGAAUCUCAUCACUGAGUUGCACGUUGGGGCCCACCAGAGAUAUGACGGGCAGUUCAACCUUUUCUAUGUUAGAUUUUUAUUUUUUUUAUUUUAUAUAAUCUUGGCUAUUGUGUGAAGAGGGAAGGUGAAAGACAAGCAUCCACACAUCCAACUCACUGAUUUUCUUUUUGCAGCUGCCACAUAAAGACCAAAGCCCUUGAGAAAAAUGUCACAUUGCCUUGUACUUUCUCACACAAUUUCAGCUCCAUGUUUUCUGCCUAAAAAACCUUAGACCAUGGAAUUUCUUAUUCAGCCUUAAAGUUACAAAUUUGAACCCAAACUCCAGUUCAGUAUAUUAUAUAUAUUGUAGAUCAUAAAACUGAUUUGUACUUAUUACCACACUUUGAGAAUAUUAUAAUAAUAUACCAUAUAUUAUGUAAUAGAAGAAGACAGAACAAGACAAUUACAUCAAGGGCCAAUGUCAGUUUGCAUAAACAUACAUAUCAUUGGAACAUGGACAAAAGCCACAGCACAAGAAGAAACCACAAGGAAAGCACAGAAUGAUACACCACACAGGAAGGAAUUUAGGAUUUGACCACAGGAGGUCACUGUGGGACAACCGUAUUAAAGAGAUAAGCAUCCUCUAAAAAGUUUGAAGAGGAACACCAUGAUGGCUUCUGCAUGAAUUUUCAUCAUUCUUCAUUUCCUCGAAAUGUUAACUAGUUAAAACCAGAAAAUAAUUUAGGCAGCUUGAUAAGAAAAACAUGAAAUACAUUAUCAGAAUGAAGUUCUCUCGGUAAAUCUUUCACUUUUCAAAUGAACACAAACAAUCAUCUGUUUUAGAAAAUUAAUUUCAGUAAAUGUAUUUUUUUUCCCAUAUUUUCCAUAUUAAAUUUAUAUUAUAUUUUCUUUGCCA